rnacentral:misc_RNA from 1 species
GUAGGAGUGAGCCUGCUCGCGAUGGCUGUCGGCCAGUUGAUAUUGAUGGCGACUGAUACACCGCUAUCGCGAGCAGGCUCACUCCUAC